rnacentral:rRNA from 1 species
UACGUAGGGGGCUAGCGUUGUCCGGAAUCAUUGGGCGUAAAGAGCUCGUAGGCGGUUCGGUAAGUCAGGUGUGAAAUCUCCACGCUCAACGUGGAGGGGCCACCUGAUACUGCCAUGACUCGAGUCCGGUAGGGGAGUGUGGAAUUCCCGGUGUGAGCGGUGAAAUGCGCAGAUAUCGGGAGGAACACCAGUAGCGAAGGCGGCA